rnacentral:rRNA from 1 species
CAAUCUAAGAGUUUGAUCCUGGCUCAGAACGAACGCUGGCGGCAGGCUUAACACAUGCAAGUCGAACGAGAAGCUUUCCUUCGGGAAGGUGGACAGUGGCAGACGGGUGAGUAACGCGUGGGAACGUGCCUUUCGGUUCGGAAUAACUCAGGGAAACUUGGGCUAAUACCGGAUACGCCCUUCGGGGGAAAGAUUUAUCGCCGAAAGAUCGGCCCGCGUCAGAUUAGCUUGUUGGUGAGGUAACGGCUCACCAAGGCGACGAUCUG